UGGGGAAUCUUGGACAAUGGGCGCAAGCCUGAUCCAGCCAUGCCGCGUGGAUGAUGAAGGCCUUAGGGUUGUAAAAUCCUUUCGCCGAGGACGAUAAUGACGGUACUCGGAGAAGAAGCUCCGGCUAACUUCGUACCAGCAGCCGCGGUAAUACGAAGGGGGCUAGCGUUGUUCGGAUUUACUGGGCGUAAAGCGCGUGUAGGCGGGUCGUUAAGUUGGGGGUGAAAUCCCGAGGCUCAACCUCGGAACUGCCUUCAAAACUGGCGACCUGGACCUAAGUAGAGGCAAGUGGAAUUGCGAGUGUAGAGGUGAAAUUCGUAGAUAUUCGCAGGAACACCAGUGGCGAAGGCGACUUGCUGGACUUAUGGUGACGCUGAGACGCGAAAGCGUGGGGAGCAAACAGGAUUAGAUACCCCAGUAGUCCCUGAGCGGGCUGGCAAGGCGCAU
rnacentral:rRNA from 1 species